GGAAGUGGAUAAAUAAAUGACUCAGAAAUUCAUCCUUAGAAAGUAGUAUUCAUAGUGCCCCAUGCCAGAGCAAACUGGCCCUGAACCAUUGCCUGGCCUCUACCUAUAGGCUGUUGGCACUGAAGUGGGUCGUACAGUG
ensembl:snoRNA